AAAAAAACGCAAAACAAAAGAAAAUCAAACACCUAUUUGUCGAUCGUUUUGAAGAAAAUAAAUUAAUUGAAAUUCAAGAUGAUGAAUAUUGUUAUUCUUUUGAGGUACUCUAGUCAAUGGAGAAUCGAAACAAAAAGAGGUCAAGGCUUCUUCAACCUAUAUCUACUCAGUUUAUGAUUCUGGAAGAAGAUACAUCGUCGACCUCGAAAGUGGAUCGUGCAUCUGUGGGAGAUUCCUUGUCCUCACGCUAUUGCCAUCAUGAAGUCAAAACAUGUGAAAGAAUUUAGGUCAUACUGUUGCGUUAAUAAGUGUAUUCAAUGUAUAACCAAAGUAUAGUAUCGUCUACAUAAUUUACUAUUGAAACUAGAGUUAAUAUGUAUUUAUAUACAUAUCUGUUAUGCAUUUGUCCAACUACAAAAUAUUGUUAUGAAAAUACAUGUUCAUUAUCGAAAGUUAACAUACAAUUGAGCUCACAAAAUAAUUGCUUGUAAAAGUUAUGUAUAUUAUAAUAUUUAGUUAUGUAUAUAUGAUUUGUGGUUGAA